UACAGAGGGUGCAAGCGUUAAUCGGAGUUACUGGGCGUAAAGGGCGUGUAGGCGGAUAGAUAAGUCGGAUGUGAAAUCCCCGGGCUUAACCUGGGAAUGGCAUGAGAAACUAUUUAUCUAGAGAGAAGUAGAGGGUGACGGAAUUUCCGGUGUAGCGGUGAAAUGCGUAGAUAUCGGAAGGAACACCAGUGGCGAAGGCGGUCACCUGGACUUUCACUGACGCUGAGGCGCGAGAGCAUGGGGAG
rnacentral:rRNA from 1 species